GAUGAACGCUAGCGGCAGGCUUAACACAUGCAAGUCGAGGGGCAGCACGAGGUAGCAAGUACUUUGGUGGCGACCGGACGCCGACGGGUGCGUAACGCGUAUGCAACCUACCUUUAACAGGGGCAUAACACUGAGAAAUUGGUACUAAUUCCCCAUAACAUUUCGAGAAGGCAUCUUCUUGGUUAAAAACUCCGGUGGUUAAAGAUGGGCAGUUGCGUUGGUACUUAGCUAGUUGGUGAGGUAACGGCUCACCAAGGCAACGAUACAUAGGGGG
rnacentral:rRNA from 1 species